rnacentral:lncRNA from 1 species
ACAAAUGGAAGGAAUGACACAGCCGGCUGCUUAUGUUAUCAUCAUUUCCCUGUCCCUUGCCUUUCCAGCAGAGUCAACUUUGAGCCCUGUUGCAAUGGUUCUUCUUCUAAGAAAAUGAUGACACCCGGCUUUGUAAAAGAAUUCUUUGCUCCCUGGAAUGUGAUGUACUGGAACAAGAUGCAUUUCCACGUCUGUAACAAAACAAAGAAAAACAAAAACACUUUUAGAGACUGUAAAAUAAUAAAAUUAUCAACUGCAACACCUCAGGGACGGCCCAGAUGCUCCUAUGGCCACGCACCUGCAGCAGGGACCUUCUCCCAGGUCGCCCCUACCGCCUGCCCAACUCGACCCCCGUCGUCUGCGCCUGCGCCCAGGCGCCUCUCACGCACCCCGGGCCCCCACCACCCUUUCCUGAGAACGUGAGCUUCGCCGUCUGCGCCUGCGCAAGGGAGCCCACCCGCUUCGCCGGAACUACCGCGGCACGAAGCCCCGCCCCCGCCCUCCUAGCCGUGGUCGCAGCCGUGUGCGCCUGCGCGCGGGAUCCUCGCCGGCCUCGCUCUCUGCGCGGUCGGCGGCGCUGCAGGCGAGCACAGGACGAUGACGAAGAGGACGGGGCUGCUGAGCGAUCCCCAGCACCCAAGGACCUGGAGCCCCAGGUCGCAGCCUCAGGACCCGGAGGAUGUGCCCAGCACCUCCAGGAGACGCGCGGACGAGGUCGUCGCCCCGCGGCUCGCCAAUCAGGCGUAGUGUGGAGACAGGGCGGGGAGUACGCUGGCGGCCGUGUAGACCCGCAGCACGACACGGUGGACUCAGCCCGGGAGGGAGUCUAGCUGCGGGCCAUGUCCAGCGUGGAUUCCAGAACCCGCCGCCUAGAGUCGCGGGGCGUCCUGAGGGAGAACUGGCCCCUAGUGGGAGUUGGGCGCGUCCCUGGAACCUCCCCUCCUCGAGGGCUGGGAGUUAGCGGGAAGAAGAAGAGGCCGCGGGCACCAUGAUUCAGACCCGGAAACUACGCCUCCAGGCAUGGCUAGGAGAAAUGGGCUUCGGAGACCAUGGCCACCCCUCUCCCUGCCUAGGAGCACGCCUGCCCCAGCACCCGGGCCUGAACGCAGCGAGAGCUCCAGAGCCUGCGAGUCCCAGAGGUCAGGAUCCGUUCCUUCUGAGGUGUCCCUAGGAGCUCCCUGAACCUCAAGCCAAAGGCCAGGCUACGGUGGUCAAGUCCCCCAAGUAGGGGGUCUUUUAAAAUACUUGGGUGGCUGGGACGGUGGCUCAAGCCUGUAAUCCCAGCACUUUGGGAGGCCGAGGCGGGUGGAUUGCUUGAGCUCAAGAAUUCAAGACCAACGUGGGCAGCAUAGCAAGACUCCCUACAAAAAAAAUAAUAAUAAGAUUUUAUAUAUAUAUAUAUAUAUAUAUAUAUAUGUACACACACAAACACGUACACAAAAAAUAGCCGGGCAUGGGGCUGCAGGCCUGUAGUACCAGUUACUGGGGAGGUUGAGAUGGGAGGAUUGAUUGAGCCUAAGAAGUGGAGGCUACAGUGAGCCAAGAUUGCAUCACUGCAUGCCAGCCUGGGCAACAGAGCAAGACCCUGUCUCAAGGGAGGAAAAAAUAAAAAAAUAAAUAAAAAUUUAAAAAAAGAACACUUGAAGUUACUCAGAUCAGGACUCAUGCAGAGAAAAGCCAACAGGAGCAACACCCCACAUUAGGGGAGGAAGACACCUGGGGAUUCACUGACUUCAGUUGUGUGAAUUUUACCCUAUGACCUUGCUUGCUUUAUGAGACAGCAGAGGUGGCCAAGGUCAAUCCUACUGCUCUGUGGUGAACUCUGCUUUUCUCUCGUUACCAUAGGUAAAGGGUCAUGCUCCUAUGUAAGCCUUCCUGUUCCCCAGUCAUUUGUGCACGGGGUAGGCCAUCAUCUCCUGCCUAUUCAAGGGAAUGACUAGUCCUGUCUUCUGUAUCCUCAGUCACCAACUUCUCAGUUAGUGUUGGACCAAGCCUAUGUUCAAAACAUGACUGAGACAGACCUCAAUCCAUAGAGAUUUAUUUAGCCAAGGUCCAAGGACACAUCUAGGAAAAAAUACGGGAUCACAGGAGCAUCUGCGCCUUCUACUUUUUCCAAAGAGGGUUUUGGGAACUUCAGUAUUUAAAGGGGAAACAGCAAGCAGGUGAGGAAAAAAAGCGAGGAAGUGUAGGCAAUGACAGAUGCUCACAUUCUUGUGAAACUCUGUUUACCCUAGUAAAUCUGCAUUUUACAUGUGAAAAGAGGGAGUAAAGGAAAUAGUCAAUAAUGCAUUCCUCUCAGGAUAGGCCCACGUGGAUUUUUAAUCUUGUCCUUGCCCUGUGAAGAUAAGCUGGUAACUGACAUUGUCAGGGUGAGAUUCAGCAGAACUCAGUUUUAGGACUAACUUACAGAGGAGCUGUGUAUCCUGAAGAUUCAGCGACUGGCAAGGAAUUUCCUUGGGAGCAAUGUGUGAGGGAGGCCAUCUGAGGAGAUCUGUGGCUUUCUUUUGUUGUGGGAAUCUGGCUUAUGGAUGAAUCUACGACACAGGAUUGUGAAAUUACAGCUCUUUGGGAACAAAAGGAAGGCAGUAUUGCAUGACUUAGUUUCCCAGCUUCACUUUCCCUUUGGCAUGGUGAGUUUGGGGUCUUGAGAGUCUAUUUUCUUUCACACCCAUCAGCACUGUUAAGUAAGCAGGAAGACAACCUGAGGUUGUCUCUUUACUUUGAGUUCCUACAUAAUAAAUUGCAGCCUAAUUUAGUACAUAAACCCAAACCUAAUUUAGGAGUAAAUUUUUUGUAGCAGAUAGCCAGAUUUCAGCCAAUCACAGGCUUCCAGCUAACAAGACUAUGCCCAAAUAAGGCAAAUGCCUCAUCACAUGAUGCUCAAAUAAGGCAGCCACCUAGGCGAGGCCAAUCAGGUAACUUUUCUACUUUGCUUAAUUGUUCAGCCUGUACAAAUUUGCUGCUUAUGACUGCUGAGCAGAGCUGUCUAAACCUCUUCUGGUUUGGAGUGCUGCCUUAUAUAUGAAUUGUUCUUUGGUCACAUAAAAUUGGUUAAAUUUAACUUCUCUAAAGUUUUGUAUUAAAUUGUAUGUAAAACAUUGGUAGCACAAUUUGGAUUCAGAUACCCAAAUAUUGACUAUGAUAAUGUAAAUAAUCCUUAAGCAGACUGAUUUACAAAGGCCUGAACAAGUUUGAUAUUCUGAAUAUUCACUUCUUCUGAUGAAAAAAUUGCCAAGACCUUACAAUUGGCAGGAAAAAAAAUGUGUGUUGGUUAAAUAAGUUAUGUUAACAACAAGAACAUUACCACAAUUAGAAAACUCUUACUAUGCCAGGCACUAUUAUAAACACACCUUUGUACCUUUUUUAAUCCUGAAAAAUUUCUAAUAAAUAUGCAUUUAAUAUUAUUUGUAUUUAAUAUUAAGUGUAUUUAAUAUUGCCCCUGUUUUGUGAAUUAAUGCAGCAAUAAACUGGCUUGCAAUGGUGAUGUAUUCUAUAAGGCAGCCAUUGUUGUCAUAAUGCUACAUAACACUACCCGAAUCUCAGUUGCUUAUAAUUCAAGUACUUAUUUUUCUUGUCCAUAAUCUGUGAAUCCUGCUGAAAUCAGCUAGACUUUGCUCCAGGAUGAGGGAUUGGUCCAAUUCUGUUCCAUCUUUCCACGCAUCUUUCAUCAGGUUAUU